GUCUCUCGUCCCAGCAACAUCUCGCUCCCCAGCCGUCUUACUGUAGAUUUCCAAAGCAUAAGCAGAUGGAACCAGACCGGACCAGAUGGAAAAACAGGACUGGGAAAAUACUGCUUCCUUGACGCAUGCUGAUGUCAGGAAGAUACUUACCUUAGGAUAUGCUGUGCCAUAAUCACAAAAUAGAGGGAAACACACACAGAUUCAACAUCAAAAGAUACAUGAAGCUACUAUGUAGUAACUGAUUCUGCUGCAAAAAUAGCUGUUGAAAUGAAAUGAAGAACAGUGGUUGGAAAGCCUUUCUCUUGGUCAUGUUUUUCCUAAUUGAAAUGCAUGACGAAAUUCCUAAUUUCACUUGCUCAGAAAUUUUUACAUAGAUUUCACCUCUGGUUUAUGAAUCCACUGGGAGAACAACAGAAUUCCAGACAAAACGGACAAUCAAACAGGAAGAUCAUGCGCUUCAAAACUGAAAGGCACAUAAAAAGAAAAUGGAAUCAACACACGGGAUCUGCAAUAUCAUUGCUAGAGAACAGCAGACAAAGAUGACUAACAGUCACUAGCGCCUAUGACACAAUCAUCAAGAAUGUCUUCGGAUGAUAAUAGAGUUAAAAGCCAAUGGAGUUAUCUAAAGUCAGACACUUAUUUAAGGGCAUAAGGGGGCACUGGCUCAGAACAAUAUGAAAAAGAUCAUUUAUAAAAAUUGACUCAGAGAACCAUUUUAAAAUUUCCUCAUCCUCAGCAGAUUCUUCUCAGAACUUCUGUAAACAUCCACCAACCUGUUAUGUCAGUAAAGGAAAACAGCUAAAGGAAUCCAUAACUUUUGUCAUCGUCUGCUGGAAAAAUAUGUUGACUUCUGCAUCUGACUGCAGUGCAGUAGAAGCAUUGUACCAAGUGGAGCCUUUGCACACUUCACGGAGUCUGCCAUUUAUGCAACUAAUAAUAUGCAAAACAUACGUGAGUUUUAAUGUGGAAGAUUAUAUUUCAUUAAUAUCCUGCAAUUUAAUAUUCAUUAUCUGCUUACUCUGUUGCAAACUACAGAUGUAUCUAAUCACAUUGAGAAUAUUUUUGUUCCUUUUGUCUAUCUGAAUUUUACUGCAUCUGUCACAGGAAAAAAUGUAGAACUUUAGCAAUUGGUGACAAAGUCUGAGAUUUCUUCUCCCAUGACACUUACGGGAUUACGAUUUUACCUCAGAGACAUAAAAGUGCCUUUCAUGUUCCUCUCUCAAAUGUAGAGAGGCUCUUCCUAGUAAAAAUAUUUUCUGUACACUCAUUCAUGCUCAUCUGACCAGCCUCUGUUUCUGUAAAUCCUAUCAUUAAAAUCCCCUCAUCUGAGCUUGAGUGUAAGCUAACAAUGAUGUAAAUUUCUCUUGCAUCAUGUAAUUAAAUACAGAUUCCAAACUAAAUAAUUAUCUAGAUAUAUAAAUAAAUGAAUAAAUGAGUUAUAUUGAGAAUUACCAAUCCUAGAAAAGGAUUCCAAAGAUUUGAAAAAGACAGGUGUAAUGUGGUUAGAGAAGUGCCUUGCUGUUGAGUGUUUUCUUAAACAAACAAAACAAACUAACUAAAACAACAACAACAAAAAGAGGUCAUCAAGAGCCUUUGGUUCAAGAUCCCCAAACGGCAAUGAGAAAGAGGCAAGAGUAAAAAAUGAAGGUUAAUCACUACAUGGAUGCUAAGAGCAGAGAUCGUUGAAGAUUCUGCCUAGUAAAAGAACAACAGCGACAGUUGGGGAAAACAGAUCACCAAAUUCACAUAAAGGUAGUGAACUAUGUGAUCUUUGAAUCUUGCAAUUUAUCCAUGUUGGCUAGAUACUGGAGGAUCAUGAAAGUACCAAACAUCAAAACUCUCUCAGCUUUGCAACUGGGUCUUAUGUCUUAACCUUGAAAUACCAUGGUUUUGCUCCUUUACAUACCGAGGUCAGAAUCUAGUUACUUGGGCAUUACCCUUAAGGGAUUUUGUUGCAUUCACUGCCAGCGCUACUCUUUCCUCCCCUUUACCUAUGUUUUUCAAACAUCUUGCCUUGUGAACUUAGAGAAACUAGUAAGAGGAAAAAUAUUAUUUCCAGAUGCUUUUAAAAAUACAUAAACAGUGUUCAUAUACAGAAUGUCAAAUCAUAUAAUCACAUUGCUGUAGUGCAGUAAGAACAGCUUCCUUUCUGUGAUUUGUUGAACAAUACAAUAGGUGAUGGGCUGAAGAUACUGAAAUUCUAGCUAUAGAUUAGUUUAUAUACUGAACUUAGUUGUCAUGAAAGCUAUUAAACUGAAUGUCCUAGAUACUGAUCUCAUCGACUUAUUCACAGAAUUGAUACAAUGAAAUAUGUAAUGGUGCAGACUUUCAAAACACUGUCCUACAAGUAUGUUCCAACUCUGAUCUGCUAAAUGACCUAUGGGUGAAGAGAUUUGUUCAGCCUGUACAUUUAUUUAGGAAAGCACUCCUUCCCUAGUUUUAAUCAAUGAUAAAACUUCUAAGGAAUUUGAUAAAAGUUUGAGCACAUCUUUGUCCUCUAGGAAUGAUGCUGCGACCACUGAAUGACCACAGAAACCAAUGAUCAUGAUCGUGUUUUUAAAUGACUGAAGACACAUACAGGAAAAGAUACUAUCAGACUCCUAGGCAUACAUCUCAGAUCUUUGUGCAAAUGUCCAGAUUGCAAAGGACCAUGAUUUAUCUGAGUUUUCUAGAUCUUCCGUGCCCUUUGUUUAAAACUUGAGCUUGUAAUGCAGUUAAUUUGUACUUUCUUUGAAUAACAAAUUAUUUCUUAAAUCAUUUCAAAUGCUAAAGAAUGAGAAGAGCUUUUGAAUCAGCUGAUUGUUCUACUAACUGGGAAUUUCACUUUUUUUUUUUUUUUUUUUUUGUCUGACCUUCACCACCAUCUUUAAACAUAUAUGAAACUGAGUAAUAAAAACUGGAAAGUCAGAGGUAGAAAAGAGAAGACAAGGAAAAACGGGAAGUGCAACCUAUCAGCUUCACUCCAAACUUCUGAAUGAGAGAGGUCAUCAGCACCCCAAGUACCACAUCUGAUCUCAUGAUAACAAAGACAUAUACUUGUGUAACAAUACAUUCUUAGAAUGCCAUUCUGAAUCUGAAACAAUAUUUCUACAUGUCAAAUGCACUAAGAGCUGUCUAUUACUGUAAGAAUAAAAAAGAUUUUGAUCAAAGUA